GAGCGAAACGGCAUCACUGCAAGUAUUGUUUUUUCUCUUUCUCUCCGAACUUUCAUUUAAAACAAAACAGAAAAUGUAUCGAGAAUCAGAUGUCUUUGUUCACAUGGUUUCACCAGAUUGGGCCGCCUACAUGAUGCAGAAUUCAUUUGCCGUGCAGCAAAUAAGACAGCAACACCAAGCAAUUGGUCGGUAUACAUGCCUCCUCCGAUUUGGAAUCCUGAUGGAGCUGGAGUAUCUGGGAUGGUUAUGCUAUCACCUAUCACCUUCAGGGUGAGGCCACAGUACUUCAAUUAAGUAGUUGUUGGUUCACACUCGAACGUUUCGUGGUCUUCGGAUGGGACACAUGCUUCCGCAUACAAAUGGUUUCACCAGAGUGGACUACCCACACGAUGCAGAAUCCAUUGCCGUGCAGUAAAUAACAGCAGCAUCCAGCAGUUGGUGGCCACCCACUCCUGCCCCUCACCACGCUGUAAAAAAACAAUAUCUGAGCACAUCCGUAAA